GUGGGGAAUAUUGGACAAUGGGCGCAAGCCUGAUCCAGCCAUGCCGCGUGAGUGAUGAAGGCCUUAGGGUUGUAAAAUUCUUUCACCGGGGACGAUAAUGACGGUACCCGGAGAAGAAGCCCCGGCUAACUUCGUGCCAGCAGCCGCGGUAAUACGAAGGGGGCUAGCGUUGCUCGGAAUUACUGGGCGUAAAGGGCGCGUAGGCGGACAGUUUAGUCAGAGGUGAAAGCCCAGGGCUCAACCUUGGAAUUGCCAUUGAUACUGGCUGUCUUGAGUACGGGAGAGGUGAGUGGAACUCCGAGUGUAGAGGUGAAAUUCGUAGAUAUUCGGAAGAACACCAGUGGCGAAGGCGACUCACUGGCCCGUUACUGACGCUGAGGCGCGAAAGCGUGGGGAGCAAACAGGAUUAGAUACCCCGGUAGUCC
rnacentral:rRNA from 1 species